UAACAGAUGCAAGGACGUGACUGGCGAGU
rnacentral:piRNA from 1 species